rnacentral:rRNA from 1 species
GAAUUUUGGACAAAGGGCGAAAGCCCCAUCCAGCAAUGCCGCGUGCAGGAUGAAGGCCCUCGCGGUUUAAACUGCUUUUGUACGGACAGCAAAGCCUUGGGCUGAUACCCUGGAGUCAGGACGGUACCGUAAGGUUAAGCACGCGCCAACCACGUUCAAGCUGCCACGGGAAUACGUAGGGUGCAAGCGUCAAUCGGAAUUACUGGGCGUCUAGAGUGCGCAGGCGGUUUUGUAAGACAGUGGUGAGAUCCCCGGGCUCAACCUGGGAACUGCCUUUGUGACUGCAAGGCUAGAGUACGGCAGAGGGGGGUGGAAGUCCGCGUGUAGCAGUGAAAUGCGUAGAUAUGCGGAGGAACACCGAUGGCGAAGGCAGCCCCCUGGGCCUGUACUGACGCUCAUGCACGAAAGCGUGGGGAGCAAACA